AUUGAACGCUGGCGGCAUGCCUUACACAUGCAAGUCGAACGGCAGCACGGGUGCUUGCCGCUGGUGGCGAGUGGCGAACGGGUGAGUAAUACAUCGGAACAUGUCCUUUAGUGGGGGAUAGCCCGGCGAAAGCCGGAUUAAUACCGCAUACGAUCUACGGCUGAAAGCGGGGGACCUUCGUGCCUCGCCCUAUAGGGUUGGCCGAUGGCUGAUUAGCUAGUUGGUGGGGUAAAGGCCUACCAAGGCGACGAUCAGUAGCUGGUCUGAGAGGACGACCAGCCACACUGGGACUGAGACACGGCCCAGACUCCUACGGGAGGCAGCAGUGGGGAAUAUUGGACAAUGGGCGAAAGCCUGAUCCAGCAAUGCCGCGUGUGUGAAGAAGGCCUUCGGGUUGUAAAGCACUUUUGUCCGGAAAGAAAUCCUUGGCUCUAAUACAGUCGGGGGAUGACGGUACCGGAAGAAUAAGCACCGGCUAACUACGUG
rnacentral:rRNA from 1 species